rnacentral:rRNA from 1 species
GAGCUGAAAUCAGUCGAAGAUACCAGCUGGCUGCAACUGUUUAUUAAAAACACAGCACUGUGCAAACACGAAAGUGGACGUAUACGGUGUGACGCCUGCCCGGUGCCGGAAGGUUAAUUGAUGGGGUUAGCCGCAAGGCGAAGCUCUUGAUCGAAGCCCCGGUAAACGGCGGCCGUAACUAUAACGGUCCUAAGGUAGCGAAAUUCCUUGUCGGGUAAGUUCCGACCUGCACGAAUGGCGUAAUGAUGGCCAGGCUGUCUCCACCCGAGACUCAGUGAAAUUGAACUCGCUGUGAAGAUGCAGUGUACCCGCGGCAAGACGGAAAGACCCCGUGAACCUUUACUAUAGCUUGACACUGAACAUUGAGCCUUGAUGUGUAGGAUAGGUGGGAGGCUUAGAAGUGUGGACGCCAGUCUGCAUGGAGCCGACCUUGAAAUACCACCCUUUAAUGUUUGAUGUUCUAACGUUGACCCGUAAUCCGGGUUGCGGACAGUGUCUGGUGGGUAGUUUGACUGGGGCGGUCUCCUCCUAAAGAGUAACGGAGGAGCACGAAGGUUGGCUAAUCCUGGUCGGACAUCAGGAGGUUAGUGCAAUGGCAUAAGCCAGCUUGACUGCGAGCGUGACGGCGCGAGCAGGUGCGAAAGCAGGUCAUAGUGAUCCGGUGGUUCUGAAUGGAAGGGCCAUCGCUCAACGGAUAAAAGGUACUCCGGGGAUAACAGGCUGAUACCGCCCAAGAGUUCAUAUCGACGGCGGUGUUUGGCACCUCGAUGUCGGCUCAUCACAUCCUGGGGCUGAAGUAGGUCCCAAGGGUAUGGCUGUUCGCCAUUUAAAGUGGUACGCGAGCUGGGUUUAGAACGUCGUGAGACAGUUCGGUCCCUAUCUGCCGUGGGCGCUGGAGAACUGAGGGGGGCUGCUCCUAGUACGAGAGGACCGGAGUGGACGCAUCACUGGUGUUCGGGUUGUCAUGCCAAUGGCACUGCCCGGUAGCUAAAUGCGGAAGAGAUAAGUGCUGAAAGCAUCUAAGCACGAAACUUGCCCCGAGAUGAGUUCUCCCUGACUCCUUGAGAGUCCUGAAGGAACGUUGAAGACGACGACGUUGAUAGGCCGGGUGUGUAAGCGCAGCGAUGCGUUGAGCUAACCGGUACUAAUGAACCGUGAGGCUUAACCUUACAACGCCGAAGGUGUUU